UUUCAGUGAAGAUAACAUUGUCCAGUUCUGCUACUGAAUGCAUGUGACGAUAUUUGUGACUCUGAGGAAG
ensembl:snoRNA small nucleolar RNA SNORD38